rnacentral:rRNA from 1 species
AGCGAACGCUGGCGGCAGGCCUAACACAUGCAAGUCGAACGAACCUUUCGGGGUUAGUGGCGGACGGGUGAGUAACACGCGGGAACGUGCCUUUAGGUUCGGAAUAACUCAGGGAAACUUGUGCUAAUACCGAAUGUGCCCUUCGGGGGAAAGAUUUAUCGCCUUUAGAGCGGCCCGCGUCUGAUUAGCUAGUUGGUUGAGGUAAUGGCUCACCAAGGCGACGAUCAGUAGCUGGUCUGAGAGGAUGAUCAGCCACAUUGGGACUGAGACACGGCCCAAACUCCUACGGGAGGCAGCAGUGGGGAAUCUUGCGCAAUGGGCGAAAGCCUGACGCAGCCAUGCCGCGUGAAUGAUGAAGGUCUUAGGAUUGUAAAAUUCUUUCACCGGGGACGAUAAUGACGGUACCCGGAGAAGAAGCCCCGGCUAACUUCGUG